UACGUAGGGUGCAAGCGUUGCCCGGAUUUAUUGGGCGUAAAGGGCGCGUAGGCGGCUCUGCACGCUCGUUGUGAAAUCGCCCGGCUCAACUGGGCGGGGUCAGCGGAUACGGCAGAGCUUGAGCAAGCUAGGGGGCAAUGGAAUUCCCGGUGUAGUGGUGGAAUGCGUAGAUAUCGGGAGGAACACCAGUGGCGAAGGCGGUUGCCUGGGGCUUUGCUGACGCUGAUGCGCGAAAGCGUGGGGAGCGAUCCGG
rnacentral:rRNA from 1 species